GCAGGUCAAAAUCCCCUGGGAGAGGCUUUAUCUUGAGUGGAAUAAGCGAUGGACGGAUGGAUGCUUUGGACGUGUGGCAGACAUUAAAAGUCGAGCCUUAAACGCUACAAGAGGAAAAAGGAGACAUUUAUCUUAAGGGCGGCGUUUCUCUUAACUGGAUGACGUGAUGCUGCCGGUGACUAAUACUAGGAGGACAAGAUAAAAGUUCCAGAAGGCAUCUACUCAGGACACAGUCCUCACAAUACCAAACAAAGAUUUAUUUUCUCAGAAUGCUGGACGCCUUAGUUCUCUCCCGCUGAGAUGCUGCUGAAUGUGAAUGACCAUGUGGCAUUAAAGAAGGGAAAAAGGCUGAUAAGUUGGUUUGGAAAAAAAGCAACUUCUUCCUGGAGGCCUGCUGAGACAUGCCGAGGUCCAAGCACCGGGAAAGCUGGCCAUGCGUGACGCACACUCCUCGGGCUCUUCUUAAACUUUCAGAAGCAAAGGGUAAAGAGUGAAGAGCAGCUGACAGAUGUUGCCGUGGACACCCCAAAGAGUGAAAUGUCAUUCCAAAUGUUGACUUUGCAGCUCGUUUAAGGGAAAUUGAGGACAUGUAACGGCAAGCUACGCAAAUCAUUACAUUUUACUAGGUCUCAUUUUUCAACCCUUAUCCGGUCUGCUUGCAGCAUGUUUUGACAUGUCUAAUCUCUCUGCAGCCAUGUGCAUCAUUUUAGCUCAAACUCAGAAAUGAUAAAAAUGUCAAUUAUCAUGUCUGAGCAUAUGCAGGCACCACACUGCUCGGCCUCCUUUGCUUUUCCAUUUCUACAGGCGCCCAGAGGUAUGGAAUAAUUAUGUCGGCUCUGUUGAUGCCCACAACGGCGCAAACGCCCCCUUUCUAAUUUCUAUUUAAAGUUCAAUCCACACCAUUUUAGUGAGUCACAACGGAUCUUUUUUUAAGGCUUCAUUUUUCAUACAGACUCGCUUUGUAUUGCCCAGCUGUGCUGUAACCAGACAUUCCUUCGUGCAAUCUCUUCCAUGAUCAAACAAUAGCGAAGGUGGAUGAGGAUUGCAGAUUUAAAGGCUACACAGGACACAGCCUGCAGCUGUCUUCGCCAUGCAGGCAAGGGAGGCGUCAUCAGCCUGAAACUCAAUCCUGCCAAGCCCAGCCCACAUCCCGUGGCUCUGCUUGCUCUGUUUGCCUCGCCGUUAUGAACCCGGCCAAAAGAACAACACGGCCCAAUAAAACAUUAAAAUCACAAAAGAAAAAAGCUUCAUCAAGCCUGUGCGCACUUGCACGGAUGACCCGAGUCAUCCUAACCGCAUUGCACACCCCGAGCGCUUCAUUGUUUGAGAUCUUUGUCUUUUAAAAACAAACGAGGGGAUUUCCCAGUUCGGUUCGACUGUAUCGUGGUUCUUCUUUAUCCAAAAUGACGCUGAAGUACCAGGCCGGUGUGCCACGCGUUCCCAGCCUACGGGGUGGUUGCGCGGCAGAGCGCAGCCAUGAGAAAGUAACAAAAGCCAUAAAUAAUAAGAGACACUCACUUGUCCAGGACAAAGUAGAGGUCGAAGGCGCCCUGGCAGGACCUUUCCUCCUCCUCCUCCUCCUCCUCCUGUUGUUGCACUCCUUUCA